rnacentral:rRNA from 1 species
CCCUUAGAUGUUCUGGGCGGCCCGCGCACUACACUGGCACUCUCAAUCAGAGCCUGGAUCUAACACUUUGGGGUAUUCUAUGAAGUGGUGUCGUGACUGGGAUUAACCCUUGCAAUUAUUGGUUACGAACGAGGAAUUCCUUGUAAUCGCGGUUUAUCAGCCCGCGUUGAAUGCGUCCCUGCCCUUUGUACACACCGCCCGUCGCUCCUACCGAUUGAGUGUUCCGGUGAAUAAUUCGGACUGCAGCAGCGUGGGGACUCCUCAUGCUGCAGCGGAAAGUUUGGUGAACCUUAACACUUAGAGGAAGGAGAAGUCGUAACA